rnacentral:rRNA from 1 species
UACGUAGGGCGCAAGCGUUGUCCGGAAUUAUUGGGCGUAAAGAGCUCGUAGGCGGUCUGUUGCGUCCGCUGUGAAAACUCGGGGCUUAACCCCGAGCCUGCAGUGGAUACGGGCGAACUAGAGGUAGGUAGGGGAGAAUGGAAUUCCCGGUGUAGCGGUGAAAUGCGCAGAUAUCGGGAGGAACACCGGUGGCGAAGGCGGUUCUCUGGGCCUUGCCUGACGCUGAGGAGCGAAAGCGUGGGGAGCGAACAGG